GUGGGGAAUAUUGGACAAUGGGCGAAAGCCUGAUCCAGCAAUGCCGCGUGAGUGAUGAAGGCCCUAGGGUUGUAAAGCUCUUUUACCCGGGAUGAUAAUGACAGUACCGGGAGAAUAAGCUCCGGCUAACUCCGUGCCAGCAGCCGCGGUAAUACGGAGGGAGCUAGCGUUGUUCGGAAUUACUGGGCGUAAAGCGCGCGUAGGCGGUUUUCCCAGUCAGGGGUGAAAGCCCGGGGCUCAACCCCGGAAUAGCCCUUGAAACUGGAAGACUAGAAUCUUGGAGAGGUCAGUGGAAUUCCGAGUGUAGAGGUGAAAUUCGUAGAUAUUCGGAAGAACACCAGUGGCGAAGGCGACUGACUGGACAAGUAUUGACGCUGAGGUGCGAAAGCGUGGGGAGCAAACAGGAUUAGAAACCCUGGUAGUCC
rnacentral:rRNA from 1 species